rnacentral:rRNA from 2 species
GGGUUGUGAGGUUAAGCGACUAAGCGUACACGGUGGAUGCCCUGGCAGUCAGAGGCGAUGAAGGACGUGCUAAUCUGCGAAAAGCGUCGGUAAGGUGAUAUGAACCGUUAUAACCGGCGAUGUCCGAAUGGGGAAACCCAGUGCAAUUCGUUGCACUAUCGUUAACUGAAUACAUAGGUUAACGAGGCGAACCGGGGGAACUGAAACAUCUAAGUACCCCGAGGAAAAGAAAUCAACCGAGAUUCCCCCAGUAGCGGCGAGCGAACGGGGAGCAGCCCAGAGUCUGAAUCAGCUUGUGUGUUAGUGGAACGGUCUGGAAAGUCCGACGGUACAGGGUGAUAGUCCCGUACACCAAAAUGCACAGGCUGUGAACUCGAAGAGUAGGGCGGGACACGUGGUAUCCUGUCUGAAUAUGGGGGGACCAUCCUCCAAGGCUAAAUACUCCUGACUGACCGAUAGUGAACCAGUACCGUGAGGGAAAGGCGAAAAGAACCCCGGCGAGGGGAGUGAAAAAGAACCUGAAACCGUGUACGUACAAGCAGUGGGAGCACCUUCGGGUGUGACUGCGUACCUUUUGUAUAAUGGGUCAGCGACUUAUAUUCUGUAGCAAGGUUAACCGUAUAGGGGAGCCGCAGGGAAACCGAGUCUUAACUGGGCGUUAAGUUGCAGGGUAUAGACCCGAAACCCGGUGAUCUAGCCAUGGGCAGGUUGAAGGUUGGGUAACACUAACUGGAGGACCGAACCGACUAAUGUUGAAAAAUUAGCGGAUGACUUGUGGCUGGGGGUGAAAGGCCAAUCAAACCGGGAGAUAGCUGGUUCUCCCCGAAAGCUAUUUAGGUAGCGCCUCGUGAAUUCAUCUUCGGGGGUAGAGCACUGUUUCGGCUAGGGGGUCAUCCCGACUUACCAACCCGAUGCAAACUACGAAUACCGAAGAAUGUUAUCACGGGAGACACACGGCGGGUGCUAACGUCCGUCGUGAAGAGGGAAACAACCCAGACCGCCAGCUAAGGUCCCAAAGUCAUGGUUAAGUGGGAAACGAUGUGGGAAGGCACAGACAGCCAGGAUGUUGGCUUAGAAGCAGCCAUCAUUUAAAGAAAGCGUAAUAGCUCACUGGUCGAGUCGGCCUGCGCGGAAGAUGUAACGGGGCUAAACCAUGCACCGAAGCUGCGGCAGCGACACUAUGUGUUGUUGGGUAGGGGAGCGUUCUGUAAGCCUGCGAAGGUGUGCUGUGAGGCAUGCUGGAGGUAUCAGAAGUGCGAAUGCUGACAUAAGUAACGAUAAAGCGGGUGAAAAGCCCGCUCGCCGGAAGACCAAGGGUUCCUGUCCAACGUUAAUCGGGGCAGGGUGAGUCGACCCCUAAGGCGAGGCCGAAAGGCGUAGUCGAUGGGAAACAGGUUAAUAUUCCUGUACUUGGUGUUACUGCGAAGGGGGGACGGAGAAGGCUAUGUUAGCCGGGCGACGGUUGUCCCGGUUUAAGCAUGUAGGCUGGUUGUCCAGGCAAAUCCGGAUAAUCAAGGCUGAGGUGUGAUGACGAGGCACUACGGUGCUGAAGUAACAAAUGCCCUGCUUCCAGGAAAAGCCUCUAAGCAUCAGGUAACAUUAAAUCGUACCCCAAACCGACACAGGUGGUCAGGUAGAGAAUACCAAGGCGCUUGAGAGAACUCGGGUGAAGGAACUAGGCAAAAUGGUGCCGUAACUUCGGGAGAAGGCACGCUGGUGUGUAGGUGAAGUCCCUGCGGAUGGAGCUGAGACCAGUCGAAGAUACCAGCUGGCUGCAACUGUUUAUUAAAAACACAGCACUGUGCAAACACGAAAGUGGACGUAUACGGUGUGACGCCUGCCCGGUGCCGGAAGGUUAAUUGAUGGGGUUAUCCGUAAGGAGAAGCUCUUGAUCGAAGCCCCGGUAAACGGCGGCCGUAACUAUAACGGUCCUAAGGUAGCGAAAUUCCUUGUCGGGUAAGUUCCGACCUGCACGAAUGGCGUAAUGAUGGCCAGGCUGUCUCCACCCGAGACUCAGUGAAAUUGAACUCGCUGUGAAGAUGCAGUGUACCCGCGGCAAGACGGAAAGACCCCGUGAACCUUUACUAUAGCUUGACACUGAACAUUGAGCCUUGAUGUGUAGGAUAGGUGGGAGGCUUUGAAGCGUGGACGCCAGUCUGCGUGGAGCCAACCUUGAAAUACCACCCUUUAAUGUUUGAUGUUCUAACGUUGGCCCCUUACCGGGGUUGCGGACAGUGUCUGGUGGGUAGUUUGACUGGGGCGGUCUCCUCCCAAAGCGUAACGGAGGAGCACGAAGGUUAGCUAAUCCUGGUCGGACAUCAGGAGGUUAGUGCAAUGGCAUAAGCUAGCUUGACUGCGAGCGUGACGGCGCGAGCAGGUGCGAAAGCAGGUCAUAGUGAUCCGGUGGUUCUGAAUGGAAGGGCCAUCGCUCAACGGAUAAAAGGUACUCCGGGGAUAACAGGCUGAUACCGCCCAAGAGUUCAUAUCGACGGCGGUGUUUGGCACCUCGAUGUCGGCUCAUCACAUCCUGGGGCUGAAGUAGGUCCCAAGGGUAUGGCUGUUCGCCAUUUAAAGUGGUACGCGAGCUGGGUUUAGAACGUCGUGAGACAGUUCGGUCCCUAUCUGCCGUGGGCGCUGGAGAAUUGAGGGGGGCUGCUCCUAGUACGAGAGGACCGGAGUGGACGCAUCACUGGUGUUCGGGUUGUCAUGCCAAUGGCACUGCCCGGUAGCUAAAUGCGGAAGAGAUAAGUGCUGAAAGCAUCUAAGCACGAAACUUGCCCCGAGAUGAGUUCUCCCUGAGACUUUAAGUCUCCUGAAGGAACGUUAAAGACGAUGACGUUGAUAGGCCGGGUGUGUAAGCGCAGCGAUGCGUUGAGCUAACCGGUACUAAUGAACCGUGAGGCUUAACCUUACAACGCCGAAG